GACGAACGCUGGCGGCGUGCCUAAUACAUGCAAGUUGAGCGCUGAAGGUUGGUACUUGUACCAACUGGAUGAGCAGCGAACGGGUGAGUAACGCGUGGGGAAUCUGCCUUUGAGCGGGGGACAACAUUUGGAAACGAAUGCUAAUACCGCAUAAAAACUUUAAACACAAGUUUUAAGUUUGAAAGGUGCAAUUGCAUCACUCAAAGAUGAUCCCGCGUUGUAUUAGCUAGUUGGUGAGGUAAAGGCUCACCAAGGCGAUGAUACAUAGCCGACCUGAGAGGGUGAUCGGCCACAUUGGGACUGAGACACGGCCCAAACUCCUACGGGAGGCAGCAGUAGGGAAUCUUCGGCAAUGGACGAAAGUCUGACCGAGCAACGCCGCGUGAGUGAAGAAGGUUUUCGGAUCGUAAAACUCUGUUGGUAGAGAAGAACGUUGGUGAGAGUGGAAAGCUCAUCAAGUGACGGUAACUACCCAGAAAGGGACGGCUAACUACGU
rnacentral:rRNA from 1 species